GAUGAACGCUGGCGGCGUGCCUAAUACAUGCAAGUCGAGCGAACAGACGAGGAGCUUGCUCCUCUGACGUUAGCGGCGGACGGGUGAGUAACACGUGGAUAACCUACCUAUAAGACUGGGAUAACUUCGGGAAACCGGAACUAAUACCGGAUAAUAUAUUUAACCGCAUGGUUCAAUAGUGAAAGACGGUUUUGCUGUCACUUAUAGAUGGAUCCGCGCCGCAUUAGCUAGUUGGUAAGGUAACGGCUUACCAAGGCAACGAUGCGUAGCCGACCUGAGAGGGUGAUCGGCCACACUGGAACUGAGACACGGUCCAGACUCCUACGGGAGGCAGCAGUAGGGAAUCUUCCGCAAUGGGCGAAAGCCUGACGGAGCAACGCCGCGUGAGUGAUGAAGGUCUUCGGAUCGUAAAACUCUGUUAUUAGGGAAGAACAAAUGUGUAAGUAACUAUGCACGUCUUGACGGUACCUAAUCAGAAAGCCACGGCUAACUACGUG
rnacentral:rRNA from 1 species